GCCCGCUUAGCUCAGUGGUAGAGCGCGUCACUUGUAUUCAUCUGAGCAAUGAUGAGGUCGGUUGUUCAAUCCAGCCAGUGGGCA